rnacentral:rRNA from 1 species
GGGAGCUUGCUCCUGGUGGCGAGUGGCGGACGGGUGAUUAACUCGUAAGAAUCUACCCAGUAGCGGGGGAUAGCCCGGGGCACAACUCGGAUUAAUACCGCAUACGCCCCCCCCGGGAAAGGACGGGAUCUUCGAACCGGUCACUAUUGGAGGAGCCUGCGUACGAUUAGCUAGUUGGUGAGGUAAAGGCUCACCAAGGCGACCAUCCUUAGCUGGUCUGAGAGGACAAUCACCCACCCUGGAACUGAGACACGGUCCUUACUCCUACGGGAGGAGCCUGUAGGGAAUAUUGCGCAAUGGGGGAAACCCUGACCCAGCCAUGCCCCGUGUUUGAAAAAGGCCUUAAGCUGGUGAAGCACUUUUCAAUAAGGAGGAAUUAGUCGGGUGAAUAUUCCCGCCGAGAAGACCUUACCUACAAAAAGAAUACCGGGUUUAUUCCGGGGCCAACACCCCGCGGUAAUAGGUAGGGA